rnacentral:lncRNA from 1 species
UAGAAACUUUUUUUGUAAUACAGGGACAAGUCCGUAAAAAAAUUUGGAGGCGAAAGCUUUGCUUUGCCUCAAUCUAAACCAUCCCAUAAGAGGUAUCUCUGCCUACCACAUUAUAUUUCUUCUUGGGAGGUACAUCAGCACUACAGUGAUGAUAACAAUCCAAAAGCCCAUAAACGAUGCUCAGCACUGAUUGAGAUGACAACAUUAAUACCUGAAGAACCAAACAUAAAAGGGACAGAUGUAUCAUCACGAACACAGUAAAAUCACGAGCCCAUGGAAUGGAUGGUAGCCCGAUGGCCCUAAAAUAAUGCUAUAUAACAAAUGGAAGAACGAUCAACAUGGCCCUAGGAAUAACAAAACCGUCUAAUAAAUAGAUUCAGUGUACAAAACUAACUAAUGGUUCUGGGAAAUGUCUCACGUAAUUAAAACUAUCCCUAUGAGUAUAGAAAAAAUCAUUUGGAGAUAAUUGAAUGCCAUUUGGCGACCAGCAGCAGGAAAAUUUCUGAAAGCACUAUUUCAAAACAGAUCUACUACACUGGCAUGCCCAACUGCACUGCCCUCACACAUAUUUGAAUUUGGUCUUCAAGCAACUUAACUUGAGGGUGCCCAAAGACUUCCAUCAAUUUCAUAUGUUCAACAAUCUCUCAAGUAACUGAACAAUUCUUAUACAUGGCCUGGAAGCAACAUAUAGUAUCCUAAGAAUAGUACUGAAGCCUUUAGCUUCACCUCUCUUCUCAACAAUCCUAAAUUUUGCUACUAAUUAUUGGUAAAAAGGUCUAAAUUUUGAACCAAACAAUACCUGUACCCACCAUACACUAAAAUACGAAGACGUGUUCCAGAAAACUCAUUCCUCUCUACCCUCAUACAGUUGUCGUCAUCCACUUGAAUAGACCUGAAAAAACAGAAUAUUUUUAUUUCUGAGGAGCAUACCAACAAACAGGUAGAGACCACCGACAAACAAGAACACAUCACACUUGAAGAUAGACUGAGGCUUUACUAUCUUAAACUGAAAAAAACACAAGGGAAGUUUGGAUGUACCAGAUUUAUGAGAAUCACAUGAACACACUAGCUACAGGUAUGAAUCGAAAGUAAACAGAGAAACAAGACAGAGAGGCCAAGUUCUGUAACUACAAUUGCAAUGCAACCUAAAUCAUGUCUUGUACCAAACUGUGCGAGAUACAGUUGGAUAAGAUGAAACAAAAGAGAUAAAGAUUACAAGUUAUCCACGCACAAUCUCAUGAAUAUGAAUUACGUAGCAUCAAAACUUAAAUACCUUUAAAAGCAGGCUAGCACAUGAUGUGAACAUGCUGACGGAGUACCUAACAUUAAUUCAUGGAAAUAGUGAAUUGGAGCACAACCAGGAUGACAACAGAAAGUAUUGCUACAGCAGAAAAAUUGAUCGACUAAAAUAAAUGCACGUCUCUAUUCUAGUGGUACAGUAAAUACAGGGUAGAAGAUAUUAACCAUAUUUGAAUGGAUGGCUCUGCAAGAUAGGAAAAUAGGUCAAAUGUGAACGAAAUCAAAGUCUUACAGUAUAUAGGAAUUUCAAACAAAAAUAAUGGUGCUGAUUUUCUUUACGUAUCCAUGGCUACGGAAAAAAAAUUGAUGGAGCAUAGUUAGAAUCGCAUUUACUCAUCAAAAAUAGCACAUUCCCAUCUGGUGUAUGCUACAAAAAACAAACAAGCAAUAACCUGAAGGAAAAAUCGCAUUUCCCUGUUAUACAUGAUUACUCUUGCAUUGAGAGCAGGUUAAACCAAAAUAUUAGUGAAGAUUGACAGGCUGGAUGAGAAUCAGUGUCCACCUCUUGGCAAUAGAAAUAAAUCAAACUUAGCUUUCGUGAAUAUUGACAGGCUGGGAGAAGGUCAGUGUCCGCCAACAUAAGGUGUCCAACCAACCACAUAUAAAAAUCUAGCAGUUCAGAGUUAGCCCACAUUCGCCAGCCGAUGUAAGAAAUUUGAGAGUUACGAGAUGUGGGGCCAACAUAAAAUAGGAGCAUGUACAAAUAAUACAUUUCCAAACUUGCAUCCGAUAUAGAUUGCAUUGCUUCUUUACAUAGACAUAAAAUAGGAGCACGCCCAGCUAUAUCGUUCUGUUCAUUUCACCAUGUAUCAACAGAUCAAAACUAGAAAUAAAUAGGUGCUUAGCCAUCCAGCGUUAGCCUAAGCUCAGUGUGAAAAUAUGAGAACCAACCCUGAGAAAGUUUACUGUACUGCAGGUGUAUGCAGUGCUUUCAAAGAG